UACGAAGGGAGCUAGCGUUGUUCGGAAUCACUGGGCGUAAAGCGCACGUAGGCGGAUGUGUCAGUCAGGGGUGAAAUCCCGGAGCUCAACUUCGGAACUGCCUUUGAUACAGCACGUCUUGAGUCCGAUAGAGGUGGGUGGAAUUCCUAGUGUAGAGGUGAAAAUUCGUAGAUAUUAGGAAGAACACCGGUGGCGAAGGGCGGCCCAACUGGGAUCGGUACUGACGCUGAGGUGCGAAAGCGUGGGGGAGCAAACAGG
rnacentral:rRNA from 1 species